rnacentral:tRNA from 1 species
GACGGUAUAGCUCAGUGGUAGAGUGCCUGCUUAUUUAGCAUGCACAUGGUCCUGGGUUCAAUCUCCAGUGCCAUUA